rnacentral:rRNA from 1 species
GGGCCAGUAGGUUGGUCGUGCCACCGGUACGUACUGGUCUCACUGAUUCCUCCUUCCUGAAGAACCGUAAUGCCAUUAAUUUGGUGUUGCGGGGAAACAGGACUGUUACUUUGAAAAAAUUAGAGUGUUUAAAGCAGGCUAACGCUUGAAUACAUUAGCAUGGAAUAAUGAAAUAGGACGAUCGAUCCUAUUUUGUUGGUUUCUAGGAUUGACGUA